rnacentral:SRP_RNA from 1 species
GCCGGGCGUGGUGGCGCAUGUCUAUAAUCCCAGCUACUUGGGAGGCUGAGGCAGAAGAAUUGCUGGAACCCAGGAGGCAGAGGCUGCAGUGAGCCAAGAUCAUGCCACUGUACUUCAGCCUGGGUGACACAGCAAGACUCUGUCUCAA